AACGAACGCUGGCGGCAGGCUUAACACAUGCAAGUCGAGCGCCCCGCAAGGGGAGCGGCAGACGGGUGAGUAACGCGUGGGAAUCUACCCAUCUCUACGGAAUAACGCAUGGAAACGUGUGCUAAUACCGUAUACGUCCUUCGGGAGAAAGAUUUAUCGGAGAUGGAUGAGCCCGCGUUGGAUUAGCUAGUUGGUGGGGUAAAGGCCUACCAAGGCGACGAUCCAUAGCUGGUCUGAGAGGAUGAUCAGCCACACUGGGACUGAGACACGGCCCAGACUCCUACGGGAGGCAGCAGGGGGGAAUAUUGGACAAUGGGCGGAAGCCUGAUCCAGCCAUGCCGCGUGAGUGAUGAAGGCCCUAGGGUUGUAAAGCUCUUUCACCGGUGAAGAUAAUGACGGUAACCGGAGAAGAAGCCCCGGCUAACUUCGUGCCAGCCGCCGCUGUAACAC
rnacentral:rRNA from 1 species